rnacentral:misc_RNA from 1 species
UCCGGUUUGUCACCGGCAGUCUCCUUAGAGUUCCCAGCAUUACCUGAUGGCAACUAAGGACAAGGGUUGCGCUCGUUACGGGACUUAACCCAACAUCUCACGACACGAGCUGACGACAGCCAUGCAGCACCUGUGCAAGCUCCCCUUGCGGGGUCGUCCCACUUUCAUGGUUCUACCACUUGCAUGUCAAGGCCAGGUAAGGUUCUUCGCGUUGCAUCGAAUUAAGCCACAUACUCCACCGCUUGUGCGGGCCCCGUCAAUUCCUUUGAGUUUUAGCCUUGCGGCCGUACUCCCCAGGCGGGGUGCUUAAUGCGUUAGCGCCGGCACGGGAGGAGUCGACACCUCCCACACCUAAUGCCCAUCGUUUACGGCGUGGACUAC